CUUGGUUUCUAUUGGUCUUAGGUAGAUGACAAUACUAGAAAGGAGUGAUGAAUGUGAGGUCCAGUGACUGGAAACAUUGAAAACCUCAAACAUAUUGUAUGAAUAUUAUCUAACUCCUUUAUCAAUGGCCCAUUGGCACAGGAAAUAACCUAGUGGGUUAAUCCAUGUUUUUCUUCAAAGAAAUAGAAUGUACCAAGUGAGACUGAGAAGUUACUGGGCGCAUUUUGCCAUAUGGCUUAGGAAAUAGGAAGUUCAUUUAUGAUGAUAGAGAAAAAAGAAUUAAUGCUUACACAGGAUGGAAGACAUGAGAUUCUGUGGGUUCCUCAAUAGUGCCAACUGACAAAACAAACAACCUUUAACAUUUUGACAAAGAGCAAAUGUACUGAUUAUUUUUCUUGUUGCUAUGAAAAGAAUCACUGAAGAAAAGCUGCUUACAGGAAGGAGGAUUUACUCUAGCUCACAGUUUAGGGCACAGUCAAUCAUCUAAAGUCACCAGCAGGGCAAGCGGAAUGUUCGGACUCAGUUAGCUUUCUCCUUUUUAUUCAGUACAGGAUUCCAGCCACAGUUCUGCCCACAGUCAAGAAGGAGAUGGAUGGCCAUGAGCUCAUGGAAGAGAAAGAAGUGGCUGAAAAGACCAAAGCAAUAUUUGAGCAGACCAAUUUGUUUUUUGAAGAGUGAAUAAGAAAUUUGAGAAUCUAGAAAAUAAUUCCUUCAAACUGUUCGUAUCUGUGCGGCUUGUGGAGGGUUGUUCUGUCUCCUCAGGUUCCUCGGGAGAAGCAGCGACUUUAGUGCAGAAUCUGAAGCUCUGUGGAAGCUGUAUUCUGUGGCCACCAGGGCCAGAAGCCAGCUCUUGGGCAUUGCCAUAGGACCAGCAGGUCGGGUCCCUCAAUCUGUGCCCAGUGACUACACUGCCCAGGUGUGUGCAUCAGAAGCUCGGGAAUGAGUGGCUGGAACUGGACAUGCGCAGAUUGCUCUUCCUUCCACCCCCUUCUCCCAGGGCAUUAAGGCUGGAAAGAGCCUGUCCACACCUGACACUUCUCUUUCCAGGCUUGCCCCCUGACUCUGCCUACACUAUCACACAAGGAUGGUACUUGGCCCUAGAUCCUGGGCUCAGAGUUUCCCUGGCAAGCACUGUGGUGUGGAGGCUUAUCGAGUGGGAGAAUACCUGCAAAAUAAUCUGAGAGACACCGAGCCCCUCUUCGCAGUAUGUCACAUUGAGUCUUUUAGCACAACGAUGAGUGGGAAUUAGAAGCUGUGGCAGAGUGACGAGAAACUGCUUCCCAACCUGUAUCUGGGCCCCAUUUGUCAAUUGUAGCAAGGGCUCAUUUAGCCCAGGCUGGCUUUGAGUACCAAUCUUCCUGCCUCCCUCUACCUUCCAAGUGCCGUUACGUGCCAUUAUCUUCAUUUUCACCACUUGUAACCUCCCCAUUAUUAUUUUUUUUUAAGUGAAGAAAAGUUAUUCAUUUUGCUCAUUGAAAGCCCCUAGGUUCGGGCUUUUGGCAUAACUAGGAUUCAGACCAGACCACAGGAAACUGCUUUUCGGUGGUCAGCUGACACUGGGGCUCCGUGAGAACUAAGACACUGCUUCCAGGGAGCCAAUAUCAGCAAGAAAAGAGCUGUCUCCAAGGAAAAAAGGCAGACAGGACUUUUAGAAACGUUUCCUCAUCUUCAUAAUUUUGUCAACCCAUGUCACAAAUGCAUCACGAGGUCUAACUGGCUUAUUUUUUGUGGGUUGUCCCAUUGGUUGAAUGAAGGACAAACAAAUGGAUGGAUGAAUAUUUAGUAGCUCUUCUAUGUGGUUUGAUAUGUGGCCGUUUUCCUGCAGUUUCCAGUUUUAAUGAUGCAUGCAUAAAAGGAUCAAGGAAAAGGCAUGCACAGACCUUCAUCUGCAAUUUGGAAGCCAGAGGUUUGGAUGCUCAGGUGCUGAUGAAUAUGUGGCAAACUCGUUUAGCAGCCAAACAACACCUGAAAAAACAAAAAACAAAAAACAAAAAACAACCCUUUACUUGGAAUUUAGUUAUCCCAUUUAGUGUGACUAUUCUCCUGUUUCCAUGAAUGGAAUAUUAAUGUUAAAUAGGAGUGUUGUUCCAUAUGCUACAUAUAGCAUGCAUUAGCAAUGUCUUUUAUCUCUGAAUUUAAAGCAUAUGUAGUCCAUAAUGUUUAGAUACGGAAUCGCUGACCUACAUUAGUUAUUUGUCGAUGUGGAGGGAUGUCAUGUCAUUUGUAAGACAAAUUACAUUUGUGUAUAUGCCCAUUUACAAAUUAAUGUAAAUGUUUCCCCUAUCAUUUUGCAAAAACAUUAGGGACAAUGUCUUUUGCACAUUCUCUUGUGUGAAACACAGAUUCUCCAGCCAAUAUUUCGAGCUCAUUAUUCCUACUCCAUAAUUGCUGCAUUCACGUAUUACAGAAAGAACAAGAAAGACAGAACAAAUAUGCACUGCACAUCACAGGGCAUUUUGAUGUUUCUUCACUUCUUUUUCAAUAAACUAUUUGGACAACACUUUACAUGAAAAUUUUGCUUUUAUUAUUAAAUUCAAUUUUAAUUUCAUUUAAAGUGGCUAAAAUGCAGUUUGAAUAGAAAUCCAUUUAAUUAACAUUUCAAAGUAUAUGGAGAUGAAUAUAAAAUUUACUUCUAUGCUGACUGUAAAACCAAUGCUAAGGAAGAUCUGCUUGAGCAAAGUAGAGAACAACUUCCUCGCUGUACGACCAGAUAUUUAACCUCUGGCUUUGCUAUUAUCAUUGCUUUAAUAACAAAGAUAAGCUAGGUAUCAAUAAAUCCACAUAACCAUCAAUUUAUCCAUCCAUCUACCAUCAUUAUAUACAUUCUACCAGCUACUAAUUUGCAUUUUCAUCACUAUUAUAGUCAACUUUACAUGACUGUGACCAAAAACUGAGAUAACAAACUUAACUGGAGAACACGUUUAUUUGGGCUCACGAUUCCAGAGGUAUCAUGUUACACAUUCAGCUCUCUCUGUGGCUUUUGGGCCUAUGGGGAUAUGUGACAUCAUAGUAGGACCAUGUGACAGUUAACUGCUUAGCUCCUGGGAACUGGAAUGAGAGAAGGAAAGAGAGGAAGGGACUGCAGUUUCCAUAACCCCUCCUCACAUACCCCCCUCCGGCAAGAGAACACUUGCUGUGACCAGACUUUCUCUCACAGGGCUCUACCUCUUUAGAGUUUCACUGUCUCCUAGUAAUGCCACAGGUUGGCAGUGAAGCCUUUGAGGGACACUCUAGAAGCAAGCCACAGCAACCACUUACUCCUGAGGCUUUGCUAGAUUCUAAUAGCAUUAGCAUUUUGAGUUUGUCCUUGUAGAACUUGAGAGAGAGGACAUGCUACAAUUCAGGAGGAGAUUUCUAUGAACUUAGAAGAAACAUUUAACAAGACUGAUGAUCUUUAAAGGAGUCUGAAGGACAGAUAAUAAAAUAACCGGGGCUUGGAAGUCAGAACACACAGCUUCUGAUUCCAUGCUAUUCUUUAAUCUCUGUGUGAUGCAAGGCAAUAUGCUUAAACCAUCCCACCUUGAUUCCCUUGUUGAUAAAUGAGAGGAAAAUGUUACAUUAUUACUUUACAAGUUUGCUUUAAGGGUAAGUAUGUCAUUUUAAAU
rnacentral:lncRNA from 1 species